UAGGGAAUCUUCGGCAAUGGACGAAAGUCUGACCGAGCAACGCCGCGUGAGUGAAGAAGGUUUUCGGAUCGUAAAACUCUGUUGUUAGAGAAGAAAAAGGACGUUAGUAACUGAACGUCCCCUGACGGUAUCUAACCAGAAAGCCACGGCUAACUACGUGCCAGCAGCCGCGGUAAUACGUAGGUGGCAAGCGUGGUCCGGAUUUAUUGGGCGUAAAGCGAGCGCAGGCGGUUGCUUAAGUCUGAUGUGAGAGCCCCCGGCUCAACCGGGGAGGGUCAUUGGAAUCUGGGAGACUUGAGUGCAGAAGAGGGGAGUGGAAUUCCAUGUGUAGCGGUGAAAUGCGUAGAUAUAUGGAGGGACACCAGUGGCGAAGGCGGCUCUCUGGUCUGUAACAGACGCUGAGGCUCGAAAGCGUGGGGAGCAAACAGG
rnacentral:rRNA from 1 species